UACGUAGGCAGCAAGCGUUGUUCGGAGUUACUGGGCGUAAAGGGUGUGUAGGCGGUCGGAUAAGUGUGGUGUGAAAUCUCCCGGCUCAACUGGGAGGGUGCGCUACAAACUGUCUGGCUAGAGUGCGGGAUGGGAAAGUGGAAUUCCUGGUGUAGCGGUGAAAUGCGUAGAUAUCAGGAGGAACACCGGUGGUGUAGACGGCUUUCUGGACCGUAACUGACGCUGAAACACGAAAGCGUGGGUAGCAAACAGA
rnacentral:rRNA from 1 species